GUUUGCUAUGUGCUUAACACUCUUUGUGCAAACUAGGGAAUUAUGUAGACUCCAAUCAACUGACUGCCUGGGCAACAGGGACUCCCGGGAUGCAGGAUUCCCUGCCAAGGCCCCUGCUGUUCCGCAGAGGCCACCUGUGUACUUCUGUGUAAACUCCAGUGUCAGCAAAGACUACAGCAAGAUCAGUUUGCCAGAUGUGGUUCACAUGCCUCAUCUGUGCACUGCAGGAAUCCACAAUUGAAGCCACAUUCCACGGAAGCAGAUGCUGCUGUGCAGAUGUGCACGUGGCUUGAAGACCAAGGACGGCAGGAAAUCAGAUCGGAGAGGAAUUCUCAUAAAUAGGAACAUUGGGCCCACAGCCUUGGGGUCCUGCUGUUCUUCAAGCUACUGAUGUGCACUUGCAUCCUGGCAGGCCUGGAUGGGAGGCCAGUUUGUGGGCUUGGUCUGGGAUAGCUAAUUAUACCACUUUCUGUCAUUUACCCCACUUCAACUGAUGUUCAAACAAAAGAAUUGUAAUCUGUCAUACUUUUGGAAAAAUAAUGUUUCUUCCAGGCAUACCAAAAGACAGUAUUUAAAGAAUAAAAACAAACAAAUACUGUAUUUAAGGAAUUUUUAAGAGAGUCUCUGUGAUAUGGAAGAAUCUUUAAACCCACUCCCUGCCUGCCAGGGAAAUUCAGUCGUGAAGUAAAAAGGGUUCAAAAUAAGAGAUGGUAUCCAAAGGUAAGUCAGUGAUAUUAAAGUUCCUUGGUGAAGGACAGUGGUGGCAUGAUAUGUUUACAAGCUCUACUUGAAUAAUAAGUCACUGAGGUAUCCCUGGUAGACUGCAGGCUGUAAAUGAAGGGCAUGCAGUCAUGAAACUUUGAGAUGCUUUGAUUGUUAUAAAAACAUUACUCCUAUCUCUUGGAAUCAUCCUAACUAGGAAAAUGAGGAUUUGGUGGGGUUAUCUGGAAAAAUUUUGGCAAGGAGGGCUGGGGUUAGAAUGGUAGAAUUUAAGGAACCUUAAGGAUCAGCUCAGCCCACCUUGUCAUUGAACAGAUGAUAAAACAGACUUUGGGAGAGCAGGAUUGACUUAUCCUGGAGUCACAUGGCACACGUGUGCUUUUGUUCAGAUGGAAAGAGACGAGCUUCACUCUCAUUCUGAGCCAGAAAAAGCACAUAU